GAGAACGUGGUGUAACUGGAUAACACAUCGGUCUACGAAACCGAAGAGUGGGGGUUUCUCCUUCGGAGACGCUGACGCGAACGAAACCCUCCGUUCUCGCCA
rnacentral:tRNA from 1 species